UACGUAGGGGGCUAGCGUUGUCCGGAAUCAUUGGGCGUAAAGCGCGCGUAGGCGGCCAGAUAAGUCCGGUGUGAAAGUCACAGGCUCAACCUGUGAAUGCCGCUGGAAACUGUCUGGCUAGAGUCCGGAAGGGGCGAGUGGAAUUCCUGGUGUAGCGGUGAAAUGCGUAGAUAUCGGGAGGAACACCUGUGGCGAAAGCGGCUCACUGGACCACAACUGACGCUGAGGCGCGAAAGCUAGGGGAGCAAACAGG
rnacentral:rRNA from 1 species